CCUGCCCACUGAAAUAUUUGAAUGGCCGCAGUAAUUUGACUGUGCAAAGGUAGCAUAAUCAUUAGUUUUUUAAUUAAAAGCUUGUAUGAAGGGUUUGACGAGAUAAAAUCUGUCUUUAUUUAAAUAAUUUUAGAAUUUAAUUUUUAAGUUAAAAAGCUUAAAUUAAUAUAAAAGACGAGAAGACCCUAUAGAUCUUUAUAUUAUUAUAAUUUAAUUUUGAUUAAGAUUAUUAAAUUUUUUAUUUUAUAUAUUAUUUUAUUGGGGUAAUAAAAAGAUUGAAUUAAUUCUUAUUAGUAUUUUACAUUGAUUAGUGAUUUAGUGAUCCAAUAAUUUUGAUUAGAAGAUUAAGUUACCUUAGGGAUAACAGCGUAAUUUUUUUAGAGAGUUCAUAUCGAUAAAAAAGUUUGCGACCUCGAUGUUGGAUUAAAAAUUGUUUUAGGCGCAGAAGUUUAAAAAAUUUGGUCUGUUCGACCAUUAAAUUUUUACAUGAUCUGAGUUCAGACCGGCGUAAGCCAGGUCGGUUUCUAUCUUUAUUUAUUUAUAAUAUUUUAGUACGAAAGGACCAAAUAUUUAAUAUAUUAAUAUUUUUAUUUAUGAAUAUUAUU
rnacentral:rRNA from 1 species